GGUAGCUCGUCGGGCUCAUAACCCGAAGGCCGCAGGUUCAAGUCCUGCCCCCGCAACCA
rnacentral:tRNA from 1 species